UACAGAGGUGGCAAGCGUUGUUCGGAAUUACUGGGCGUAAAGGGCGCGUAGGCGGUCUUGUCAGUCCCUUGUGAAAUCCCCCGGCUCAACCGAGGAACUGCAUCCGAUACUGGCGGGCUUGAAUCCGGGAGAGGGAUGUGGAAUUCCAGGUGUAGCGGUGAAAUGCGUAGAUAUCUGGAGGAACACCGGUGGCGAAGGCGGCAUCCUGGACCGGUAUUGACGCUGAGGCGCGAAGGCGUGGGGAGCGAACGGG
rnacentral:rRNA from 1 species